rfam:Aedes albopictus isolate Foshan contig142856, whole genome shotgun sequence.
UAGCUUAGAGGAAAGAAGCGCCCGUCUAGCGAAUGGGAGUCGUGGGUUCGAUUCCCAC